AUUGAACGCUGGCGGCAGGCCUAACACAUGCAAGUCGAACGAGUGGCGGACGGGUGAGUAAUGUCUGGGAAACUGCCCGAUGGAGGGGGAUAACUACUGGAAACGGUAGCUAAUACCGCAUACCAUCGGAUGUGCCCAGAUGGGAUUUGCUAGUAGGUGGGGUAACGGCUCACCUAGGCGACGAUCCCUAGCUGGUCUAAGAGGAUGACCAGCCACACGGGAACUGAGACACGGUCCAGACUCCUACGGGAGGCAGCAGUGGGGAAUAGUGCACAAUGGGCGAAAGCCGGAGGCAGCCAUGCCGCGUGUAUGAAGAGGGCCUUGGGGUUGGAAAGUACUUUCAGCGAGGAGGCGUUACUCGAAGAAGAAGCACCGGCUAACUCCGUGCCAGCAGCCGCGGUAAUAC
rnacentral:rRNA from 1 species